rnacentral:rRNA from 1 species
GACGAACGCUGGCGGCGUGCCUAGUACAUGCAAGUCGAACGCAUUUUCUUUCACCGUAGCUUGCUACACCGAAAGAAAAUGAGUGGCGAACGGGUGAGUAACACGUGUGUAACCUGCCCAUCAGCGGGGGAUAACACUUGGAAACAGGUGCUAAUACCGCAUAAUUCCAUUUACUGCAUGGUAGAUGGAUGAAAGGCGCUUUUGCGUCACUGAUGGAUGUACCCGCGGUGCAUUAGCUAGUUGGUGGGGUAACGGCCUACCAAGGCUGCGAUGCAUAGCCGACCUGAGAGGGUGAUCGGCCACACUGGGACUGAGACACGGCCCAGACUCCUACGGGAGGCAGCAGUAGGGAAUCUUCGGCAAUGGACGCAAGUCUGACCGAGCAACGCCGCGUGAGUGAAGAAGGUUUUCGGAUCGUAAAACUCUGUUGUUAGAAAAGAACAAGGAUGAGAGUGGAAAGUUCAUCCCUUGACGGUAUCUAACCAGAAAGCCACGGCUAACUACGUG